UACGGAGGGGGCUAGCGUUGUUCGGAAUUACUGGGCGUAAAGGCUGCGUAGGCGGCUUAUCAAGUCCUGGGUGAAAGCCCCCGGCUCAACCGGGGAAUGGCCUGGGAAACUGAGGAGCUGGAGUGCUGGAGAGGGAAGCGGAAUUCCUGGUGUAGCGGUGAAAUGCGUAGAGAUCAGGAGGAACACCGGCGGCGAAGGCGGCUUCCUGGACAGACACUGACGCUGAGGCACGAAAGCUAGGGGAGCAAACAGG
rnacentral:misc_RNA from 1 species